rnacentral:misc_RNA from 1 species
AACGCACAUUGCGCCCUCUGGUAUUCCGGGGGGCACACCUGUUCGAGCGCCAUUUAAACCCUCAAGCCUUGCUUGGUGUUGGAGCGCGUCCCACCCGGACACCCUCCGAAACUCAGCGGGCGCCACCCGUCAAAUCGGGCGCAGCGAGCUUACGCACGCGCCUUGCGUUAGCGGGGGGUCGCCCUCGAAACCUUUAAUUUUUUCCAAGGUUGGCCUCGGAUCAGGUGGGGAUACCCGCUGAACUUAA